CCUGUCCCAGGCACCCACCCUGGCCCCGCCCCGGAGGCCCUGCCCCCUCCUUGCAGGGCCCGCAGCGUCCCUGAGCUCCCACAGUCCUGAAUUCCAGCUCCAAGGGGACACGGGCAGGGCCCGAGGCCCCAACGGGGAAACACCAAGACUUGGUGACGGCAGCACACGACAGGGUCUGCGUUUCCUUCCUCAAAUGCUUCUCAAGCUCGGCUCCACAUCUGCCUCGUGAAGGAAGAUUUAAAAAUCUCACUGACCUGGCCCCACCUCCUCUGAACUAGAUCGGAACAUCAAGAGGCUAUACACCGUGAACCAGCUGGGGCCCCGAGACCGGGGGUAGGAGCUUCGCUGCAAUCUCCACGAGCAGGUUCAGCUAGAGACAGUGACCCACACACGGACUGAGAAUGAGGUGACGCAGGGGGCCACGGCCAGCUCUGGGAGCUUAAUAAUACAGUCGUAAAUAAAGGUCAUAAUAAUA